rnacentral:tRNA from 10 species
GUAGCUAUAGCUCAGCUGGUUAGAGCGUCGGAUUGUGGUUCCGAAGGUCGUGGGUUCGAAACCCAUUAGUUACCCUA